CCGGGCUGAGCGCACCUGAUCCCAGGAGCUGAGCAAUCUGGGGCCAGCCCAGUGUUUGGAUGGGAGACCACCUGGACAUCCCAGGGC
ensembl:rRNA 5S_rRNA 5S ribosomal RNA